rnacentral:SRP_RNA from 2 species
GGCCGGGUCCCAUGCAGGCUGGGCCCGCGAACCUGGUCAGGCGGGGAACCGAGCAGCCAUAAGCGUGUUGCCCGGCUGUGCUGUGGGUCAACCCGGCCACC